rnacentral:rRNA from 1 species
GAUGAACGCCGGCGGCGUGCCUAAUACAUGCAAGUCGAGCGAACAGACGAGGAGCUUGCUCCUCUGACGUUAGCGGCGGACGGGUGAGUAACACGUGGAUAACCUACCUAUAAGACUGGGAUAACUUCGGGAAACCGGAGCUAAUACCGGAUAAUAUAUUGAACCGCAUGGUUCAAUAGUGAAAGACGGUUUUGCUGUCACUUAUAGAUGGAUCCGCGCCGCAUUAGCUAGUUGGUAAGGUAACGGCUUACCAAGGCAACGAUGCGUAGCCGACCUGAGAGGGUGAUCGGCCACACUGGAACUGAGACACGGUCCAGACUCCUACGGGAGGCAGCAGUAGGGAAUCUUCCGCAAUGGGCGAAAGCCUGACGGAGCAACGCCGCGUGAGUGAUGAAGGUCUUCGGAUCGUAAAACUCUGUUAUUAGGGAAGAACAAAUGUGUAAGUACCUAUGCACGUCUUGACGGUACCUAAUCAGAAAGCCACGGCUAACUACGUG